CCCACUUCUCCCUGCCACUGUCUCUUUGUCAGGGAAACGUGAACCUCAACAAAUCAUUUUUCCACUUUGUUUCAGGAAAAAUUGACUUUCUCCAACAUGAACUUCCGAGGCUCCAGCGUUUACCAGAUUCCUUCCACCCGGAUCUCCACCACCCGAUCUGCCCCUCCGUACCGGGCUGCCAGCCUCUAUGGGGGUGCUCACGGCCCAAACGUGCGCAUAUCCUCCUCCUCUUCAUCCUCCCUGCGUUCUGGGGUUCCGGUCUUGUCCUCCUCUGGAUCUUUCAAGCUGAGCAGUGCAGCCAGCGCCGGGACGCCUGCAGCUGGCGGUCCUGCAGGCGGGAUCCUGGGCAAUGAGAAGGGGGCCAUGCAGAACCUGAAUGACCGCCUGGCCAACUAUUUAGAAACAGUCAGGAACCUGGAACAAGCCAACAAGGAGCUGGAGGUGAAGAUCAGGGAAGCCCUGGAGAAGGGGGGGCCUGACACCAGAGACUACAGCAAAUAUGAGCCCAUCAUAGACGACCUGCGGAGACAGAUCUUUGAUAAGAUAGCGGAUAACGCUCGCAUGGUGCUCCAGAUUGACAACGCCCAGCUUGCUGCUGACGACUUUAAAGUAAAGUUUGAGAACGAGACAGCGAUUCGUCAGUCUGUGGAGGCCGAUAUCGCUGGACUGAAGAAGGUCAUCGAUGAGACCAACAUGAGCAGGAUGAACAUCGAGAAUGAGAUGGAAGCUGUGAGGGAGGAGCUCCUUUACCUGAAGAAGAACCACGGAGAUGAAGUGAUGGAGCUGAGAAGUCAGAUCUCUCGCUCAGGCGUGCAAGUGGAUGUGGACGCGCCCAAAGGUCAGGAUCUGGCUCAGAUCAUGGAGGACAUGCGAGCAAAUUAUGAGAAGAUCGCUGCCAAGAAUGUUGACGACCUCAAACGCUGGCAUGAAAACCAGAUUGCAGAUGUGCAGGUCCAAGUGUCACAGAACACAGAAGCUCUCCAGGGAGCCCAGAUGGAGAAGAAUGACUUAAACAGACAGAUACAGACACUGGAAAUUGAGCUAGCGUCUCAGCAGAGUUUGAAAGCUUCUUUAGAAGACACUCUUCGUAACACGGAGCUGCGCAACAACAUGGAGACGGAGAAGUACAAUACUUUGAUCGUAAACCUGGAGGAAGAGCUGGGUAACCUGCGGGCAAAUAUCAAACAGCAAACACAAGAGUAUGAGGCGCUUCUCAACAUGAAGAUGAAGCUUGAGGCUGAGAUCAGCACCUACAAGAACCUGCUGGAUGGAGAAGACUUCAAGUAAGGCUUAGAGGAAGACGCUAAAAACAAAAGAUGGUGGUGGUUUUCAUGGCUGGGCUUCAGGAUGCUCUGGAGGAUCUGGCAGCCACAAUGUGAUGGGAUGGAAGAUUCAGAAAUCAUCAUAUCAGAAAAAGCUCCCCAAAGCCAUAAGUUACACAAACACAGAAGCGCCAAAACAAUUAACGCUUCAAGACAUAAUGGAACUUGAGUUCAAACUGGGGCUGGGCGAUUUAUUUUACGAUAUCAUUUUCUUCAUAUCAGGCGAUAACAUUAUGCAUCAUGAUAAAUAAAGCUCGUCCCACGACACAGAGUGCACCGGAGCUCACCCUUCAAUUCCAAGAGCGGCUGAGCUUGCCCUCAAGGAGUGAAAUCAGCCUCCAACUCUCCUGUUGUGUUAUUUUUCAUUUCUGACCCUUCAAAAUAAAAGUUUAUACUGAUAGGCUCAUAUUUCUAUUGCGAAAAAGUUAUAUCGCAAUAAAUAUUGCUAAUGUUUUAUCGCCCAGCCCUAGCUUAAACCAGCAAAAUCUGCACCCCAGUGAUACCAAAUGGAUUUCAAACCCCUGUAAAAUGAAAUAAAAUGUGAAUUUAGAA